CAUCACUGAUGGCCAGGUUCAACAUUUACGUGUGAAGGCCGCGACUGACCGCCCGACUUUGGCUGAGGUUGACGGUUGAACAGCGUUUCCCGGUGUUGGUAGUAAACGGUCUCCGCUCCAGCUCGGUGUCGAAGCUCCGGGGCUGCCCAUGAACGGCACCAUGGCUGCGUCCUCGCACCGGAUAAUGCUUGGGCCGCUGGUGGCUGCCAUAGACCAGGGAACGAGUUCCACUCGGUUUCUGGUGUUUAAUUCAAAAACAGCAGAGCUCCUUAGCCAUCAUCAGGUGGAAAUCAAACAGAGCUUCCCGAAAGAAGGAUGGGUGGAGGAGGACCCCAAAGAAAUUCUGCAGUCGGUGUACGAGUGCAUGGAGCGGACAUGUGAAAAACUCACCCAGCUCAACAUAGACAUCUCAAACAUUAAAGCUAUUGGAGUGACCAACCAAAGAGAGACAACGCUUGUUUGGGACAAAGAGACAGGGGAGCCCCUCUACAAUGCAAUCGUUUGGUUGGACCUGCGAACGCAAUCAACAGUUGAACGUCUAAUUAACAAAACCCCAGGAAGGAAUAAAAAUCACUUGAAGCAUAAAACAGGGCUCCCCAUCAGCACUUACUUCAGCGCAGUGAAACUUCGCUGGCUGAUGGACAACGUGGACAAGGUCCAUGAAGCUGUCGUGUCUCACCGCGCCAUGUUCGGCACUGUCGACUCCUGGAUCAUUUGGUGUUUGACGGGCGGCAAGUCGGGUGGAGUCCACUGCACAGAUGUGACCAACGCCAGCAGAACCAUGCUCUUUAACAUUCACACCAUGGACUGGGAUCCAGAACUUUGCAAAUAUUUUGGUAUUCCCAUGGAGAUCUUGCCCAGAGUGAGGAGUUCUUCGGAAAUAUACGGCCUCAUGAAAUCUGGAGCUCUUUCAGGUAUUCCCAUUUCAGGGUGUCUUGGGGAUCAGUCAGCAGCACUGGUUGGACAGAUGUGUUUUCAGGACGGGCAAGCUAAAAACACAUAUGGAACCGGCUGCUUCCUCCUGCGAAACACUGGAGCCAAGCCUGUAAUGUCUGACCACGGUCUUCUGACCACUGUGGCAUACAAACUUGGUCGGGACAAACCUGCCUGUUAUGCACUAGAGGGCUCUGUGGCCAUUGCUGGAGCUGUGGUUCGUUGGCUGCAGGACAAUCUCGGGAUCAUCGGAUCAUCUGAAGAGCUCGAGAAGUUGGCUGCAUCAGUCGGUACAUCCUACGGUUGCUACUUCGUUCCUGCAUUUUCGGGUCUUUAUGCCCCAUACUGGGAGCCAAGUGCAAGAGGGAUCAUAUGUGGGUUAACUCAGUUUACUAAUAAGAGCCACCUCGCAUUUGCUGCACUGGAAGCCGUCUGUUUCCAGACACGAGAGAUACUGGACGCCAUGAAUCAGGACAGCGGCAUCCCGCUAACUCAGCUCCAGGUGGACGGAGGAAUGACGUCCAACAGGCUUCUGAUGCAGCUGCAGGCCGACAUUCUCUGUAUCCCUGUUGUGAAGCCGUCCAUGCCUGAGACCACAGCGCUGGGUGCAGCGAUGGCAGCCGGAGCAGCAGAGGGCGUGAGCGUGUGGAGUCUGAGCCCAGAGGACCUGAGUGAAGUCACAUCAGAGAAGUUUGAGCCUCAGAUCAACCCUGAAGUUUCUGUGUCCGUGCUCGGCAGAGAGCGAGUUUCGGUACGCACGAUGGAAGAAGGCGGUUCAGAAAUCCAUGAACUGGGAGACGACAGAGCCUGUUUAUAAUGGAAACGGUGAAGCUAGUAUCUUCAGCAGCGUCCCCAUGGGCUUUUACAUCAUGGGCAGCAUGUUGAUGUUAAUUGGUGCAAAAUACAUCGCAGGACAUAACUAGGCUGAGACUCCUGGAGGCAUUGAAGCAAAGAGGGAAAGUGGAAACAAAUGCUCCACGUGCUGGACCCACCACGGUUACUCUCAGUUGCACUGUUUUUCCAAAAGGCAUUCCAGAAGAAGGUCGCUCUUGUCUGAUCUUAAAACUGACUGGAAAACUGGGACACAUUUGAACUGACAAAUGGGAGUUUUCUUUAUUAUUCUCAUUGUUUUUUUAAGACUAUUUUUCUUUGCUGCAGAGAAAAGAAACAUCAUUUCAUUAGACAUGAAUUUUAGCAUGAGUGUGCAUGCAGUGUUGUUUUUUUGUUUUGUUUUUUGUUUUUUUUUAAAACAAUGGUGAUACGGUAUUAAUUCUGAUCUUAUUUAUGUAGAGACUCUACUGAUGAUAGUUCAGAUUGUUAUCUUUCCACCGCACAGUUCAGUGAAGUUCACUGUCUAAUUUACAUCACUUGUUGUAAUUCGUCAUGUCCAUGUUACCGAACAAUCUUCCAACAGUCAUCUUCUGAUGUUUUGUUGUUCCAGGGCCACCACUAUGAGCUACAGAGGAAUUAUUAGAGCACUUUAUAUUUUUUUUGUUUUGUCUCAUGGGAGCUGUGUACUAACGAGAGUCUAUAUAGUCUGUAUAGUUUCUCAGAACGGGAAAGUGGUCUCAGACUUUGGGACCACACUGUAUUUGUCUUCAAACAGUUGGGAUUAAGACACGUAGAGUUAGAAGCUGAUGUUGUUUUACAAACUUGAAUGUGUGUAAAAAGUGAAUAUAUGUAUGCUGCAAUGGGCAAACAUGCGGUGAUGGGCAAUGAUGGGGACUUUGGCAGACGAUUUUGGAUUUCUGUGUUCACACGAUAUGAAGGCAUUCUAGGAGUAAACAGGCAUACUGUAGGUUAAAAGGUAUAUUUCUGUGAAUUUGACAGAAGCCAGAAAACUAUGAACAUCCUUACGGGAUAAAAUCUGAGUCAACUAGUUAAUGAUUAAUUUAUUUUGUAGAUUGAAUUUUGGUCUUAAGCUUUUUCAUUCCAGGAAGCUUGAAGGUUUUAGGGCCUAUCACGGUUAAGAUUCAAUUUUAUGACAAAUAGCAUUACUUUCCACAGAACUCAUAAUACUGUUCAUUUGGUCGCAAGGUGAUGCAAUCAUUUUUCUGUUUUGUCGUUUGUUUUUUAUCAAUAAUUUAUCAUGGGAACCUGAAAGUUUGAAUAACUUCCACGUUAUGCAAAACAUGUCACAUUACGUAAAAGCCUUGUGAUGAACAAUUCAAAUGCAAAUGUUCAAUACAACUCUCGAUGAAGCAGCUUUAUUGCAAUAAAACAUUAAAUUAUUUAAAUGAAUACUUAAUUCAGAGGGACCUUUAUAAAACCAUAGGAACUCAAACAAUCAAAGUAAGUCCAUUUGCUAUAUAGUAAAGGUUUGAAGAUUUAUCCUUGAGGAAGUAGGAGUGAGUAAAUGAAUAUCAGUAUUUAUUCUUCUGCCCCAUAUUUGUCAUGUUUGUCUACUGUGUGGCACAGAAACAGAAAGCAAGCCAGUACUUCAAUGGGCAAUUUUGCUUUUCUGGUUGCUCUGUAUAGUUAUGCAGUUAUUUAUUAAACUGUACAGUCCAUGGAAGGCAUGAAAAAAGAGCUCUAUUGGGAUACAAACACAAUUUGCUAAUGGAUAUUUAUUAACGGAUUUAAUUUAAUGAAAGUCGUUUUGGGUAAAGAGGGUUUCAUUGAAGUGUUUAAAACUAAAACAAGUGAAAUCAGAGAAAUAGACUUAAAAUGGCCGCAAGCAUGAAAGCAGUGUACAAACCUAUACAGGCAUUGGGACAUUUAAACCCAAUUCUGGUGUUCCAGAUGCGCUGACCUUUAAAUGCUGGUGGCUGAUUUAUGAAAAGGAGACACGAGGAACAAAUGUACAACAGACAUUGCGUUUUUGGAAAUGUAGUGUGUUUAAAAUGAGAAAACUGUGUGUGUAUGGAAACAGGUUUUAUGGGAGAAUAAAUAUCAUCGAAAAUGAA